UUCCUGCCUGGCCAAUCAGCGUUUUAUUAAAAUACAUGAUUGACAGAAUACAGACAAUUCUCCCGCACCAGAUAUCCAACAGAACUAUACUGGUUGUGCCUUCAGAAGAGACUGAGUCGUUCUUUGUGCAUGAGAUGGUUAGGAAGGCGCAGGGCACAGGGUAGCUGUAGAGCCACUGUCCUGUUAAGAGGAAUUAGGGAGAAAUGGUUACAUCAAAGCUGCUGGAGUGCCCAGCAAAAAUAAAAAGUAAUAAAUGAAAUAAAAUAAUUUUAGCAAAUUUUGAGAAUGGGCGGUUAUGUCAUGCUGUGACAGGCUUCAAUCACUGAUGAAAGGUCAUGCAUGUCAUUGAUGAAAGGUCAUAUGUGUCAAGAUAUCUGCACUUUUCUUCCUGUCAUAUGUUUCAAAUACGGAGAACACAGUCUCAAAUGUAGGCAAGAUUGCUUGUUUUUCUAAGAAUCCCCCCCACCACCACCCCAUAUUUUAUUUCUCUCAUAGCCCAGGCUGGCCUCAAACUCACUGUACAGCUGAGGGUAACUCUGAAUUUCACAUUCCCCUUUCUCUACUAGAGACUAGGACUAUAGGUGAUUGCCACUGUGGCAGGUUUGUGAAUGCCAGGGAAUCUGUCUCAGACUUCAUGACUGUCAGGCAAGCACUCCAGCUACAUCCACAGCCCUCCUUCAGUGUACUUCUAUUUGUUUGGUUUGUUUUGGUGGCAGUUGUGCAUACAUCCUCAGGGUCCUUUACCCCUAAGCACUUCAGUUUUUAAGCAUAAAGUGCUCUUGGUCGGGUGCCAUCAUCACUCUGUGGUUAAAGAUCCAUGAGUUUAACUUUCUUAUGCUUUCACCUGGCAUUGGCAUUCUGGUUGGGUCACUUGGCUCAGCUAAACCCUGGAGAGGAUUUCCUCCAGCCCCUAACCCUGGGCCCACGCUUGGGCUCUGUGUUUUCAUCUCCUCCCAACCUAGAACUUUUCUUUUGCCUUUCCCAUUGCCACUGUUUUCUUUCCUCAGUGCUCCCAGGGGCCACAGGGGCUAGCCCGGGCCUUGCACACUCUCCCGCUCUUAGCUGAACCACACCUCCCUCCUCGCUGACUCUGACAGGUUUUUUUUUUUUCAUACCUGUCCUGCGCCUGUCGCCACAGCUGCGGUUUGUCAUCCAUCUUCUGCACAACAGAGGUGUCUUUUUAUUUGCUGCGUUCUCAUGUGGAGGCCCACAAAGACCAGCAGUUUCUACAGGUGACAUUAGUUUUAGUCACUUGGUCAAGAUGUCUGAUUUAUUCACGGCGUACUAAGUUUUUUCCCUCUUGGUUGUGAUGAAUGCGCAGUCUGUGGGGGAAAGAACUUGUAAUUUUUUUUUUAACAAAGUAUGUUGACCCCGAUGGAAGGGACGGAAGGAAAAUUGAUUAUGUAAAUCCAAAAGCUGCUGUUGAAUUAUUUGAUUUCAUUUUUCCCUCUUCAUUGUAUGUCCCAAAAUUCAUAAAAAAUGUUUUUGGUAGGAAUAUUUUAAACAAUACACUGUUAAUGAAAAUUAAAAGGAAACCUCAGGGCGAAGUACUUUAGACUUCUUUUCAGUAGAAGAAAUAGUUACAUAAAUUCCAUUAUAACUAAUAGGGUUGUGGGAAAUUGUCCAGGGUGUUGCUGACAUCACCGAUGGCCUAUGGUAAUACAAUAGGACAUUGAAGUCUAGGCUGAUAAUCACCUGGCCAUAAAAUAUAAGUUGUGUAUGUCUGUGUGUUUCCAUAGAGACAUCUUAACUUAAAAUGUUUUAAGCCCCACCACUGGCAGGUAGGUAAAAGCAAAAGCUGCAACUCUAAAAACCUUUUUCAUUUCUUUUAAAAAGCAGUGUAGAUUCUCUGUUAAAAAAAAAAAAAGGCCCUGGGGAAGCCAAACCCUGUCUUGCCUGGUUGUUCCACAUCAGCUGACCUCGAGUAAGCCUGAGGAGAGACAUCAGCAAUUGAUUUCCCUGCCUUUUGGCAAAGGAAUGAGACUGCAUUGACUUCAUCCACGCAGACAACUGCCAGCUAUUUCCUUACUCCACAGGGCGCUAAUUGUAGCAAGUCUGUUCACUCCCUUUCAUACCUUCACAAAUGGAGACAGUGUCUGUCGCUUGAUAGUGCCUGAUAUGAACGCUGUGAGGAGCUCUUAUCGACGUCUCUGAAAAAACGUGAUGAUGAAAGAGAAACUCAGAGACGUCCUUCGCCUCGUGCAGCAGGAGUGCCCACAAGUUGAACAGUGUAGGAGAUCAAUAAAAUACAAUUCCAAUAGUUAAUUGCAUCCCGAAGGAAAGCUUACUGAUUAUGGCGAAGGGGAAAGAACAUGGCUAUUAAAGGACUUUCCUUCUUAUUGUAGUUCUGAGUUGGAUCCCCGUCACGUGACUCGCCUGUAGUUCCUCCACGUGUGUAACCAGCAUAACAAGCCGUCUGCCAUAUCUGAAAAUGUUUCAGAAAUGAAAGUUCCAAAUUAAGCCCAGGUGUUAUGAUUAUGUAAGAAACAAACUGCAAAAAGCAGCUCCGGAUAACCUAAGGAAACUCUCUACUCAAGGCAGAGCAGGGGUGGAAAGGUUUGGCUAAGGCUUGGAUGAAAUUAGUGAGUGAUCCUCAACAGCAAGAGAAUUAUGAAAACUGUCUGAGGUAAUUAGUCCUUUUGUUUUAUAGAUGAAGAUUUUCACACUUAUUGUGCAGUUUAUAGGAACUACAUAAAUUGUUGAGUUGCUCAAGAUGGACUUUAACUGAAGUAAUAGUGAAUAUAGUACUAUUUGCUGAUUCAGUGAAAAUUUAUACCCUAAUUAUGAUAUACAUAAUUUACAUAAGGCAGAGUUCUUUUACUUAUGAAAUCUACCUUAGUGGUUCACAAUCAACCUUUUCUCCCUCAAAUGAAACCGAACAACGAACAUAAACAGUACUAACAAACAAGUAGAGAGUCUUGUUGGGAGUCUGAAGCAGGAGGAUUGCCACAAACGGGAGCCUGUGCUGGGCUGAAAAAUUAGUUUCUGGCCUACCUGAGAUACAUAACAAGACCCUGUCUGAAACAAGCAAACAAAGCAAUAGGUAGAAUAAAAUGAAACAAAAAGACGAAAGGUGAUAAUCAGGAAAGCAAGGGACCCACUGGAAGAAGCUUCUAGUUUUGAAAUUUCAAAGCCAAGAUGAAGGUGAAUGUGACAUUCUGCUGUUUCUGAGGCUAGAGUACAGAACCGGGAGGUUGGAUGACCGUGGCGAUGGGGGUGACGAUUUAGAUGGUCCUGGCUUGAUACCCCAGAUGUUAGCUACAGUUAGAAGUCAUUCCAGGCACACAGAGGAGCUUUGGGAUCCACCAUCAGAGUACAGGGAUCAACAAGGACUCAGGGAUUAGAAAAUGUCUCUGCUUAGGUUAAAAUUAGCAUCGAUUUGACCUUCCCUUCUCAGGGACUGGAUGGAAACUCUCUUUGGUUAAUAUCCAGAAGGGAGGGUUUCUAAAACCUUAGAUCAGAUUUGGAAGAUAAGAGGAUUUAUUCAGGAAUUUAGCCUUUGUUCUUAACCUUAAAUUGUUAUUGGAAGUAUUUACGAGACAGCGGAGUGGUAUGUUUUGCUUGUGAUGGUUUGCACUCCUCAUUUACAAAUGGACUAUUUGCCACGGAAGACCCUUGAUCUUCUGUCCUCCUCAGGAAAUGAGUGCAUUGCUAGAAACACCAGACAUUUCAGUGUUUGACUUAGCACUGAGGCAGGAUCGUGUUUAGCCACACUCACCCUUCUGUGCUUGCUCAUUAUUUAUCCUGGACUUACCUCAAGAAAUGGAUUAAAGGAGAAAGCAUGAACCUACAAGCAAUCCUUAACCUCAAAUAUUUAAUCUGUGUCAUCACACUUGAGGAGUUCAGAGUCCUGCUUAGAAAAGGCAAACCAGGGAGUUUGGCUUCUCUUUGCCCCUCUGAAAGGGUCAACGAGAAGACUUAGUAUUAAGCCAGCAUCUCCACAGGCUUAAAUCACCCAGUGGUGGCCCUUUCUCAGUCUGCUUAGGUAAAUACAUAAACCAUUGUCCUGAGGCAUGGAUCUGUCACUCCAAAAUUAAAAGCAAACCAGAUGCUGCUUGCCUCACGAGAAGCCUAUAAAUCAGGUUUCAAGAAAUACAAUCAACUUUGGUGAGUUUUGUAAGUUCAGGUGUCCACCUAUGGUAUUUAGUUACAUGGAGGUACCUCAGAAUAUUAGAAGCAUAAUUUAUGGGUUAUCUCUCUGGCUUUAAGAGACCUGUCGGUACAGCGGGUAGUUCGUUUAUAAGGAAUCAGCUGGUCAUCGACCACUAUCACAAUGACAACUGCUAACAAUUCUGCUGGCUAAGCUUACAAUAAGUUCCUCACAAACAUUAGCUAUUAUAAAGAAUCAUCAUAUAGAUAGAAAUAUUGGCAGUAAGAAUGAAUCCUAUACAGCAGGUGUUAUUAUGACGACCCUUCCACAGGCACAGAAACUGAGGCUUAUAGAGAUGAACUAGCCUGCAUCACAGAAGGCCUGAGUCGAGCCUGCACCUGGACGCUUUCAAAGCCCAGCCCAUCCCCCUACGUCAUUACUUUCUUACUUACUAAAUAGCCCCAUAUAUACCAUUAUGCUAGAUUUUCAACAAGAAAUUAUUCACCUUGCUGCUGUUUUCAGAAUUUUAAAAUCAAAAUUGAAACUUUCAUUUUAAAUGAGUUUUACCCAUAUAAAAAAGUCAUACAAAUAGUAAGCAGAGGUUAACAUCUUGCAUAACUGUGGUGAUCAAAACCAGGAAAUUAAUAUUGAUACAAUUCUGUUCCGGGCCAGCACGCCUUACGCCAAUUUUCCCACUUUCCCCACUACAUCCCCGGUUCUCAGCCGGAAUGACGUGCUCCUGUCAGGUCUUCUUCAAGACCAGUCCUGCAGUGCAUGGCCUUGAGCACGAAGGCCGCCUUCAGUCUGUGCCCUGGCUGCUUUGCUCGCUCCGGCUGUUGCUGAAGUCCAGAAGGCUCCCACAAUCUUCCUUUAUCAUCCACGACUCUUUUGAAAAUUACUGGACAGGUUUUGUUUUGUUUUUUAAAACCGAUUUUUUUUUUAAAAUUUAGAUUUGUCUAAGGUUUCUUCGUGAAUAAAUUUGGGCCAUGCCUCUGUAAACUGCUCUUGAAGUCCCGUUAGGAGUUCCUUACUGUUUCAUAAGGCUUGUCCAGCUUUAACUCAUUCAGUCUCUACUGCUGCUUCUGCUGCUGAUCAUUUGGUUAAAGUGGUUUCAGCUGCAUUUCUCUGCUGUGGCAUUUUCCCUGUAACUGGCGAGUGCUUGUGGGGCACAUAUUUUGAGGCCAUGUGACUGUCCUGCCUUCUAAUUCUAUCAUUCAUUGAUGCUUCUUUCCCAACCUCUCGAGUGCUGGGGAGGGUUUACAGAUACUGGUCUUCUGCCUCAUUGUUGUUUCUGUGCUUACUAACUGGAAUCCUAUUGUGCAGGAAAGCUUCCCCUUAUCUAUUGCCUUUUUUAAAAAAAAAGUUAUUUAUGGCAGAACAAAAUCGUGGAUUUAUGUA